UUGAACGCUGGCGGCAUGCCUUACACAUGCAAGUCGAACGGUAGAGGAGCAACCCUUGAGAGUGGCGAACGGGUGAGUAAUGCAUCGGAACGUGCCCAGUCGUGGGGGAUAACGCAGCGAAAGCUGUGCUAAUACCGCAUGUGAUCUGUGGAUGAAAGCAGGGGACCGCAAGGCCUUGUGCGAUUGGAGCGGCCGAUGUCAGAUUAGCUAGUUGGUAGGGUAAAAGCCUACCAAGGCGACGAUCUGUAGCUG
rnacentral:rRNA from 1 species